GGCAAUCCCUACUCCCUGCCAAAGGAGAACCCAGUUACUGAACAUCGGAUGAGACCAUGGAUAGUAAAUUGGGAGUGAAGGUCCAUACCUGGGUCUCAGAAGCACAGUACAGGUUUUUAGAACAAGCCACCUUAUACAAGUUAAAAUUCAUGAAGGAAUGGAUACAGGUUAAGUUACACCAGCCUCCUGAGUAUGAUAGCAACAUUCCUUUAGGGAUUAAAGAAAAUGCUUCAGAAGAUUGGAACACUACUCAGCCGUCCCAAACUUCUUUUACCACUAUGUUUCUACCUUAGUGAUCUUCCUCCUUAUUUUAAUGCUUCUUUCUCUUUACAAUUAAAAGUUCAUAAAAUCUUUCAACAUUAUUUUUCACUAUAAAAGUCUGAAGUUCUCUGUGAAAUGCCUACAUGUAAGAAUUAAGAUAGAUUUUGAAGACUGUCAGUCUCAAAAUUCCAUGCUCAUCAGUUAGUGCAUGAUAUUAAAGUAUGCUUUUUUCCUCCUUUUAAAUAUACCAACAUUAUAUUGCUGAUUUUUUUAUUUACCUGGGUAAGAGCACUGACUCGGUUCUCACUAGGAAACAAAGGUGGGUCUUCUCCAACUUGAAAAUCAAAAUAUACAGUUUUAUGUGUGAAAGUAGAAAAUUCAUUGCUGAAGCAAAAUUUGUAUGUCCCAUUUUUGGAGGCUGUGAAGGUAAAACUAUCAUACUGUUUCUUCAUCUCUUUGUAUAACACUUUACCAUCAGGAUCUUCUAAUCGACAAUCCACAUC
rnacentral:antisense_RNA from 1 species